rfam:Capsicum annuum cultivar Zunla-1 chromosome 5, whole genome shotgun sequence
UAUUAAUGAUGUGGGCAGUCUCUGAGAAGAUAUUUAAACCUCUCCUAAGCAUGAUAUAAGUUCUCAUCUGGCUUUUGCUUAAAACUUAGAAUUUUACUACGUAACCU